rnacentral:lncRNA from 1 species
UACACCCUCCACAGCCGCUGGCCCGGGUGCUAAGUCCCUCAUUGCCCGGGGCCGGCAGGGCUGGCCGGCUGCUCCGAGUGCGGGGCCUGCCAAGCCCACGCCUGCCCAGAACUCCAGCUGACCCUGAACUCCAGCUGGCUCGCAAGCGCCUCACGCAGCCCCGGUUCCCGCUCGCGCCUCUCCCUCCACACCUCCCUGCAAGCUGAGGGAGUGGGCUCCGGCCUUGGCCAGCCCAGAAUGGGGCUCCCACAGUGCAGCGGUGGGCUGAAGGGCUCCUCAAGUGCCACCAAAGUGGGAGUCCAGGCAGAGGAGGCGCCGAGAGCAAGGGCUGUGAGGACUGCCAGCACGCUGUCACCUCUCAACCAUGUGUAGUAUCAAGUUUCAUCUCUAUUUGGGAAUAACCAGAUUUUCUUUCAUGUCUUCUGUCUUUAGCUCUGAGGGACCAUCAGGAUCCUGCUGCUUGGAUCACAAGCAUGGCAUUAUCAAGAGAUUGGCUCAAACACCAUCUCCUCAGUGUAGACCUUCGUGAUGCUGCCAAGAAGAAUUAACACCUUUUUCAUCCCAUGUCCUCCAGCAGUGUGUGUCUGUGUGUGUCCCUAUUAAGAAAUUGAAGUUCCUCAAAGGCAAGAAUCAUGUUUUUCAUUUCUAUAUUCCUAACCAAAUCAACUACAAUAAAUGCCCAAAUAAGUUUCAUUGAAUGAAUGAAUGAAUGAAUGAAUGAAUGAAAAGGAAAUUAAAAUUACACACACAACAGUGGAUAUGUAGAAAAGACAAGCACAGCAAGAGCAACUAGGCUGCCCAGGGAGGCAGUAUGCAAGUCCAGAACCUAGCUUAUGUUCAGAGGGCUUUCAAAAGACAGAUCAAAGGAAGUGGAGCCUGGGCAAGAGGCAGCCCUAGUCUGUUUACUCUUCAGUCACUUUGUAACUUACCUGCUGCCCCCACCCCAGGUCUGCUUUGACAUGAGAUCUUUAAAUGUUGAGGUGGGAAGGGGGGAAUCGCUUAACUGCUAUCUGAUUCUUCAUCUGUAAAAUAAAGCUACUGACACUGACCUUCC